GCCUAAGACUGAUUCUAACAAAUUCCCAAAUGGGGCUCAUGCUGCUGACCCAGGGACAACGCUUUGAGAACCACUGGCCUAAAUAAUGACUACAGCUACUUCCAGCUGUGAGAUUUUAGAAUUUUGUUUCUAAGAAGCAGUGUAAUAUGGGAAGAAGAAAUUAAGAAAUAAAGGAGGAUUUGAGAAGACACAUGAGGCCUGGUGCAGUGGCUCACACCUGUAAUCCCAGCACUUUGGGAGGUCAGGUGGGAGGAUGGUUUGAUGCCAGGAGUUUGACACCAGCCUGGGCAACAUGGCGAGAUUUCAUCUCUACAAUAAAACUUUUUAAGAAAUUGGCAGGUGUGGUGGCAUGCACCUGUAGUCUUAGCUACUCAAAGCUGAGGUGGGAGAAUCUCUUUGAGCCUAGGAGUUCUAGGUUACAGGGAGCUAUGAUCACAACACUGCACUCCAGCCUGGGCAACACAGUGAGAACCUGUCCCUAAAAGAAGAAGGAGGAGGAGCAGGAGGAGCAGGAGAAGAACGAAGAGGAGAGGAGAAAUUUCUGAACAGUCCCCUCAAGCAACAAGCAGAUGCUGAAAGCACAUUCUGUGGGCAGCUGCAUCCUUGAACAUUGUCUGGAGCCUGCUCUAUUUUGAAAGAACUCUUUGCUGCAUGCUCUAGGGCACAGAUGGAGGCAGCAUCAUAGGUGGGUUAAGCAGUUACCUCCUCUUUGGCACAACCUGCUAAGCUAACCUGAGUACUCCCAACCAUUAUUCCACAAGCCUCUACCGAGUGCCUCCUGUAUGACAAGUGUCAUAGAACUCACAUCAACAGGAUGCAUUUCCUGGAGGCACAGUUCAAUAGAGAGCUGGGGGUGAAAAAAAAAGAGAGAAAAGAAAAAAUAAGAAAGCUAUAACAUUUGAGCUUGAAAUGUCACAGGGAGCCAAGGAAGUUGUCUGAUGGAUUGCCCUGUCAUCUCCAAGCCAAAAGAAAAAAAAUUUCAGAUCCAUCAAUUUGUUCCUGCCCUUUUAAUCCAAGCAAUACUUUACAGCAUCAGAAUGCAAAGAAAUUAUUUUCUUAGACGAAUCCUCAUGUGGACUGCUGAGCACUUAACCAGAAAACAGCAAGAGAGAACUGUAGGUUGUUCAAGUGUCUGCACAUCUGAUUGAUCCAGAUUGAAUGUACAAUAUACUGGAACACAUAUGAGAGCCUACUGGUGACAUAUGUUCAUUCAUUCAUCCAUGUGGAGUUGACAUCGCUUUGCCAUAGACAAUGAAUUUGAAGAGACACCUGUGUACAUGUGCACCAGCUGCCCAGGUUGAGGACUGCUCCUGCCUGCUCUGGACCUGCUCCUCCCUUUGGCUGGCUUUCCAAUUAGUGUAGACAUGUUCUCCCAUAUCCUAGCCUCUCUUUGGGCCACAUUUGAGGAUACCACCAACCAACCCUUGGAUCAAAUGCUUGGCUCUUGGGCUCAGACCCUGUAGGGAUAUAGCUUUAUUUGCAAAGUAGGCUGAAAGACUCCCUCUCUUGACAAGGAAAGCUGAUUGGCAGUAUGAAGAGUACACUGCAGAAGUUUUGAGGAGGACAAGCACUUACGAUGGCUUUACAGGGAUGGCUGCCCAAGUGAGAUAGAAUUUAACAUGACAAAAUGAAGGCACAGAGAAAUGAUAUAGCUUGCUCAAGGUCAUACAGAAGUGGUCGAUCUGGGAUUUGAACCCAUGUCAUCUGAUGGCAGAGCCUUCACAAGCCUGGCAUGUAUUGCUUGCUAGUGAUUCCAUAUCUACCUGUCUGUAAUUUCUGUCUAAUUCCAUUUUCUGUAGGAAUUCAAAUCAGUAAACAAAAAAUUUUUUGCAUCUUUUCAAAU
rnacentral:lncRNA from 1 species